UGGCUCUCGCAUCGAUGAAGAACGCAGCGAAAUGCGAUAAGUAAUGUGAAUUGCAGAUUUUCAGUGAAUCAUCGAAUCUUUGAACGCACAUUGCGCCUCCGGGUAUUCCUGGAGGCAUGCCUGUUCGAGCGUCGUUAAAGACCAUAAGGCUUUGCCUUGCGAUGAGUUUCUGGUGUCUUCUCGACGUCAGGGACUUCAAACUGAUUGGCGUCUGAAGUUAGCCCAAGCACAGCGAUAUGUGUUCGGUCUCUAGCUGAUGAUUGCCCGUACCCAAAAUCAUUAAUUGGUCGACCUCGGAUCAGGCAAGAUUACCCGCUGA
rnacentral:misc_RNA from 1 species